rnacentral:rRNA from 1 species
AGGACGAACGCUGGCGGCGUGCCUAACACAUGCAAGUCGAACGAGGUCCAUCCGGUAGCAAUACUGGUGAAGAUCAAGUGGCGAACGGGUGAGUAGCACGUGAGCAACCUGCCCCGAAGACCGGGACAACACCGGGAAACCGGUGCUAAUACCGGAUAUCCCCACCGAGUCGCAUGGCUUGGUGAGGAAAUGGAUUCCGCUUCGGGAGGGGCUCGCGGCCUAUCAGCUUGUUGGUGAGGUAAUGGCUCACCAAGGCUUCGACGGGUAGCUGGUCUGAGAGGACGAUCAGCCACACUGGGACUGAGACACGGCCCAGACUCCUACGGGAGGCAGCAGUGGGGAAUCUUGCACAAUGGGCGAAAGCCUGAUGCAGCAACGCCGCGUGAGGGACGAAGGCUUUCUGAGUUGUAAACCUCUUUCAGCAGGGACGAUUGUGACGGUACCUGCAGAAGAAGCCCGGCAACUACGCGCCAGCAGCCGCGGUAA